rnacentral:lncRNA from 1 species
AGAACUGAACUUAUACUGAGAUGUUUGGAUAGGCUGUGAUGACUCCCAUGGUAAAAGGUCGGUUACUGAAAGGAUUGCAGAUUCAUGGAUCGAUUUAGAAUUUUGGUUUUCCAUAAGGUAAGAAGAAAAAAAAUAAAUACAGAAUAUAAAAGAUAAGAAAAGAUAAAAGUACAAAUACAAGCUAGUAGUAAGACUCAAGGUUAUCUCAGCAAACCGUCUUUCUCCCCGGCAACGGUGCCAAAAAUGCUUGUUGAUAUUUGGGAACGCAAUAAGGAAUUGAUCCGCAAGCGCACGGAUAUCGGUGAGCACUUCACCC